rnacentral:rRNA from 1 species
UACGUAGGGUGCGAGCGUUAAUCGGAAUUACUGGGCGUAAAGCGUGCGCAGGCGGUGAUGCAAGUCAGAUGUGAAAUCCCCGGGCUCAACCUGGGAACUGCAUUUGUGACUGCAUCGCUGGAGUGCGGCAGAGGGGGAUGGAAUUCCGCGUGUAGCAGUGAAAUGCGUAGAUAUGCGGAGGAACACCGAUGGCGAAGGCAAUCCCCUGGGCCUGCACUGACGCUCAUGCACGAAAGCGUGGGGAGCAAACAGG